CUGUUUUAGUUAGUAACUUACAUUAACUGAUCCACUUAGUCUCUUACAGUGACUGUAUUCCUACAGAACAGCCGUUAUGAAGGCAUUAUCAAGCAAAACAAUACAAACAAAGUAAAAGCUCUUUGAGGAUAAGUUCAUUUUGCUGAACAGAGGGUACGGGUGAGGUUAAAGAAGAGAGCCUCUGAGUUCUCAACCAACAGGAUCAAAUCAAACCACACCCAGUUAGUCUGGAACAAUGAGACCUCGCAGUGUUCUACACUGUCUAACCUCUCAGGACUCAUGCUGUGUGAGUGUGUGUGUGUGGACAUGGGUUAGUCUGUACGCGUGUGCGAGGCUGAAAGUGUUCCCCAGGGGGUAAGGGGAAAGGUCCCGUCUGUUAAUGUAGUAGCUUAUUAACAAAUGGUAGGGGUAAGAGUUAACACUAGUUACAGACCCUGUAUGGUAGGGGUUAGGGUUAGAGUUAACACUAGGUACACACCCUGUAUGGUAGGGGUUAGGGUUAACACUAGGUACACAUCCUGUAUGGUAGGGGUUAGGGUUAGAGUUAACACUAGGUACACACCCUGUAUGGUAGGGGUUAUAGUUAACACUAGGUACACACCCUGUAUGGUAGGGGUUAGGGUUAACACUAGGUACACACCCUGUAUGGUAGGGGUUAGAGUUAACACUAGGUACACAUCCUGUAUGGUAGGGGUUAUAGUUAACACUAGGUACACAUCCUGUAUGGUAGGGGUUAGGGUUAGAGUUAACACUAGGUACACAUCCUGUAUGGUAGGGGUUAUAGUUAACACUAGGUACACAUCCUGUAUGGUAGGGGUUAGAGUUAACACUAGGUACACAUCCUGUAUGGUAGGGGUUAGGGUUAACACUAGGUACACAUCCUGUAUGGUAGGGGUUAGAGUUAACACUAGGUACACACCCUGUAUGGUAGGGGUUAGGGUUAACACUAGGUACACAUCCUGUAUGGUAGGGGUUAGGGUUAACACUAGGUACACACCCUGUAUGGUAGGGGUUAGAGUUAACACUAGGUACACACCCUGUAUGGUAGGGGUUAGGGUUAACACUAGGUACACAUCCUGUAUGGUAGGGGUUAGAGUUAACACUAGGUACACACCCUGUAUGGUAGGGGUUAGGGUUAACACUAGGUACACACCCUGUAUGGUAGGGGUUAGGGUUAGAGUUAACACUAGGUACACAUCCUGUAUGGUAGGGGUUAUAGUUAACACUAGGUACACACCCUGUAUGGUAGGGGUUAUAGUUAACACUAGGUACACAUCCUGUAUGGUAGGGGUUAUAGUUAACACUAGGUACACACCCUGUAUGGUAGGGGUUAGAGUUAACACUAGGUACACAUCCUGUAUGGUAGGGGUUAUAGUUAACACUAGGUACACAUCCUGUAUGGUAGGGGUUAUAGUUAACACUAGGUACACACCCUGUAUGGUAGGGGUUAUAGUUAACACUAGGUACACAUCCUGUAUGGUAGGGGUUAUAGUUAACACUAGGUACACAUCCUGUAUGGUAGGGGUUAGGGUUAACACUAGGUACACAUCCUGUAUGGUAGGGGUUAGAGUUAACACUAGGUACACAUCCUGUAUGGUAGGGG
rnacentral:lncRNA from 1 species